UACAGAGGGUGCAAGCGUUGUUCGGAAUUAUUGGGCGUAAAGCGCGUGUAGGCGGCUUUGCAAGUCGGGUGUGAAAGCCCUCAGCUCAACUGAGGAAGUGCGCCCGAAACUGCAGAGCUUGAGUACCGGAGAGGAUGGCGGAAUUCCCCAAGUAGAGGUGAAAUUCGUAGAUAUGGGGAGGAACACCGGUGGCGAAGGCGGCCAUCUGGACGGAUACUGACACUGAGAGACGAAAGCUAGGGGAGCGAAUGGG
rnacentral:rRNA from 1 species